AUCUUAAAAUCCCACUGCUAAGCAAAUUAAUUUAAAUGCUGCUUUAGAUUAGAAAGUCACCUUGUUAUAUUAUGUGUUCAGUGGGUUCUCAUUUAUACUGCUCAUCAUAUUUUCUGCACUAUCUUUUCAACAUUUUCUCUGAAGUCUAUAAUUUACUCUUCUUCACUUUGAACUUGGGCUCUGCAGGGGUCUGCAUCUUGGACUUCUAUAUGUUGGUUAACUUGUAGUACUUCUUGUGUAUUCUAUCCUGUAUGGUCUGACAGCAAAGGAAUCAAACUGGCUUGGGGCUACAACAUCAGCUGCCGUGAUAAUCCUUAAUUGGAACUUGGGAGCUUGCUUGUAUGGUUUUAAGCUUCUGAAAAGUCGAGUCGUCGUACUUUUUGUUGCCGGUACAUCUCGGGUGUUCCUGAUCUGUUUUGGAAUUCAUUACUUGUUUGUUGUUAACCCAUGCUAAUUCAUUUUCUUCCAUAAUCAAGUCUUCUUAUACUUGUGGCAUAUGCAUCCCUUUUAAUAUUAUUUGUUGAAUAGAAACUUCUAAUCUUUUGUUAUCAAAAAAAAAUCUUCUAAUCUUUUACUGCAACAAUUUUGUUUCAGGUACUUUGGACAUUGUAUCAAUUAUGCAGUUGUAGCAUCUGUGUUGUUGGGUGCUGCUGUUUCACGGCAUUUAUCAGUUACAGACCCAUUAGCAGCUAGACGAGAUGCCUUGCAGAGCACAGUUAUCUGCCUUAGAGAAGGUUUCCAUAGAAAAGACCAAAAUAGCUCCGCAAGCUCUUCUGAGGGGUGUGGCUCAAGUGUUAAACGCAGUAGUAGUGCUGAUGCUGGUCAUCUUGGUAAUGCAAUUGUGCCUUGCACUGGUGAUGGCAGUACCUGGAAUAACAUUGAGGGGAUUAAUAGUGAUAAGAGCAUAGACAGUGGAAGACCAAGUCUAGCUCUACGUAGUAGUUCCUGUCGUUUAGUUGUUCAAGAGCCUGAAGUAGGAUCAUCAUUUGUUCUAGCAGUGGCCUUGAAAGCCAAGGCGGUGAUUCUAGUACAUCCACUUCUGCAAAUCAACAGAUACUGGACUUGAAUUUGGCACUUGCAUUUCAAGAAAAGUUGAGUGAUCCCAGGAUUACAUCUAUGUUAAAGCGGAAAGGAAGACACACUGAUCGUGAAUUAGCUAAUUUAUUGCAUGAUAAAGGGCUUGAUCCUAAUUUUGCAGUGAUGCUGAAGGAGAAUGGAUUGGACCCAAUGAUUCUAGACUUGUUGCAGAGAAGUAGUUUGGACGCUGAUCGAGAACAUCGCGACAGUAACCCUCUUGUCACUGAUUCAAAUAAUGUUGAGGAUGUGUUACCUAAUCAUAUUUCAUUCUCGGAAGAACUUAGACUCCAAGGAUUAGGAAAGUGGCUUCAACGUUGUACAGUAAUGUUGCAUCAUGUAGCAGGAACUCCAGAGCGAGCAUGGCUUCUUUUCAAUUUAAUCUUCAUUCUUGAAACCGUCGUUGUGGCUAUCUUCCGACCAAAGACAAUAAAAAUUUU